UCCCUCCCAGGCUCAAAGAAAUCUAGGAGGCCACUGGCAGCCCCCACAGCCCAGAAAUAGCAGGCCAGCUGGUGGGCGGCUGACCCUGAGGCCCAGGGCCUGAGCUGAGGCCUGUUGCCUGGCAACAGGCAGCAUCCCACACUGUGGGUGGCCAAGGGUUCCGGUGGUGGCCCACGUCACCAGCCCAGCCGAGAUCUGCCUGGGCGCUGCGAGGGCAGGUGGAGAGUCCUUGGAGGCCUGGGAGCAAAGCUCCGUCUGCAGGGGAUUUUCAUGUGGUUGUCCCCGCCCCCAGCCUCCAGCAUCUCCUAGACGUGCCCAGGUUCUUCUGGGUCGUUAUUACUAUCUUUAAUCCUCACGAGAACUCAGCACACAGCCAUCAUCAUUCCCCCUCUGCACAGUUGAAGACAAAGACUCAGAGAGGUUCAGCAACUGUGCCAAGCCCACACAGCUGCUCCACAUCACGCCCGGGAUCGGCUACCGUCAGCUCUUGUCUGGACCAUUGCCGCAGCCUCACUGUCUCCCUGCUCAACUCCAAGUCAUUCUCUGCUCAGCAGAGGAGAGUUCCUAAAACUGCAAACCGAACAGCACAUCACGCCCUGUUUAGAGUCGGAGGACUUCCUAUCCUUGGACUCAAACUCACUCUCAAACUCCUGCCCGCGUCCCCGCAAGCCCCUUGCCCACUUCACUCCCUCUGCAGGAACGAGGAAAUGACCUCCCACAUCUUUGAGUGGUGGGUUCCUUCCUCGUCCUUCUGGCCUCAGCCCCAGCGCCACCUCCUUGGAGAGAUGCUCUCUGACUACCUGGUCUGAAUAAGUCUUGACCCCAGCCUGAGGUCGUCUUGAUCACCCUGUGACAUCACUGUAUUUGUUGGCUGGCUUUUUUCUUUGUCUCCCCUCUCCUCAGCCCUGGUUCAUGAAAGCAGGGACCACAUCCGUCUGGCUCUGUGUCCUAAGAAUCGAGAGCAGGGCUUGGCACAGAGUGGCCACUUAACGAACGCUUGUGAAUAAGUGAGAGGGUCGAAUGAAUAAGUGCACCCAUAGACUCUCACUCCGGACACUCCAGCACAUGCUCAGACCCUCUCCCACACUUGCAAACACUCACACUCAUCCACACCUGGCUCACACCUUCAGACACUCCCAGACGCAUCCUGCCAAGAAUCUCUGCCAUGCUCAGGAGCCUGUAACCAGUGACGCUGCCGCCCCCUCCUGGAAAGAUUGGGGAAGUGCAGCCAGGGUCUGGCCCCGGGAAGUCAAACCAAGCGCGGGAGAGAAGCGGGAAAUGCAUGACUCAGGCGAGUUGCUCCCCGAUUCCCCUUUCUAAGCCAAAUUCAGGGUCAUUGUCACAGGCCUGCAGGGUAGAUGUGUAAUCAAUGUUUGUACCCUCAGAGGUUUGGAAUAGCAUGUGAAAGGCUUCGAAUGCCAGGGUGAAGCCUGGAUUUUGUCCUGUAGUUUACAGGGAGCCAUCGUGAGUUUUUGAGAAAGAGAAGGACAGGAUCAGAACUGUGCUUUGGAAAGAUAAACCAGACCGUGUGCAUUCGUUUGUUUAUUUGUUCAUUCAUUCAUUCCUCUAACAGUCUCAGAAUCCGGCAGUGAGCAAACAGAGGUGCCAUUGGCCUUCAUGGAGCAUGGUCUGGGGUAGCAUGUACAGCAGUGGAGGUUCGGACACAGAGGGGGCGUCACUCCUCUCCUAGGCAUGGUGAGUCCUGGGGUGAGGCGAGCUCAUAUAAAAGCCCAGCUCCUGCCCAGGUGAGCCCUGUAGGCGGUGCAGAGGUGAGAGUCUGCUCAGCACCCGAGCAGGCGCAGACCUGGGGCGGGCCAAGUGUGGUGCUCUCCCACUCCCUCCAGCUUGCCUGCCUCAGGAGCCACAUCUGUAGAUUUUUUUUCCAGUCCAAUCAAAUAGAUGCAAAUUGCAUGCAAAUGUAUGCAAGAGGUCCUAAUUCAAGGUGUGUUAAAUGUAUUAUGAUCUGCCUGCUGCAAUUAUUGUCAAACGCAGCACUGAAGAUGUGACCGACAUGAAAUAGUGGACUGAUUUUAGUAUCAGACAGCAUAAUCACUUCAGGGACAAGCUGAGGCAGAGCCCAGGGACCCAGACACGCUGUACGGGGAGAUGCCCAUGUGGGUAGGUGUUUGUGGAAGAUUCACAGCACUCAGGAGGCGAGAAAAGAGGAAGGGACAAACUCCAUCCCCAGCCAGGGCUGGAGCUUCCGUCCUUCCUUCGAAGGAACGUGGACGAGGGGUUAGAAGUCCUGGUCCCACUCCCUGCCUGGGCUGCUUGGCAGCUCUGUAACUUCCAGCCUGUCACUUCCCCAUUCUGUUUUCUCAUCUGUGCAGUGGGGACAGUGACAGGGAAGCAUGAAGGAGACUAUGGCAGGUGUCUUAGGUUAGGAUCCCCAGGAGGUGAGCCUGAGACGAGGAUUCCUGUGAAAGUAAAGAAAGGAUUCCAUAUACUAUAGUAUAACAUAACCUGACAUAGUCUACUUACUGUGAAGCAUCCCCAGGAGGGCUGGUAGAGGAUGGGAGACCAGGACAUGGAAGGGACAGAAGCCAAGCAAGGGUGUGUCAUCUCAAAGCCCCGCUUUGGAUGGAUCCUGCAGCUGUGCCUGGGAGACAGUGCAGGUCACGUCUCGGAGUCGUCCCACUGUGGGGCAAGGGAGCUGGGGUGUUUAUACUCCUGUACUCACCAGUGACUGGAGGACGUGAGUUCCCCUCAGGAGGUCAUGCACUUCCAGCUCCCUGUAAACGCAGGCCCGGCGCCAGCCUCUGAGAGACACGGGUGCUGGCUGCCCGCGGUGGAAGCAUCUGCUCCAGGAAGGGAGGUGCUCUGUAAACUGUAAGUGCUGCGCCAGGCGUGGGAGGGUCCUCACCUGUGCUCUUCUUUGAGCUCACUGAUCACCCUCAGGCAAGUCAUCUCACCUCUCUGGAGACCCACUUUGUUGGAAGAAAGAGACUUCUGAGGAAAUGAAAGCACCGAUACCCACGGGUUGUCACGAGGGUAGGAGCAGUUGGGAAAUGGUGUCUAUCUGGUGGGGAGUCUGGGGAUCAGCUGCCUCACACACUGCUGGCGGGAGUGUCAAGUGCUCUAACCGCUACGGAGGGCCAACGCGGUGGUAUCUGUCAAAGUUGCAAAUCCACGAAUCCUUCAACCCAGCAGUUUUAUUUCUAGGAUGUUGUCUUACAUUUAUACACGCACACACAUGAAACAAUCAGUUUAUCUGUUGCAGCACUGUUUGUAAUCGCAAAGACAUUAAAAUAACCUAGUUGCUGAAUUAUGUACACACAUGUAAUGGAAUAUUCUGCAACCAAAACAAAAAGGGAACCAGGAAGUGCUCUCUAUACUGUUAUUGGAUGAUCCCCAAGCCCUAUAGUUACAUUAUAAAAAGCAAGAUAAAGAAAAAAUCAGGAUAAAGGACAGUGUGUAUAUUUGACAAACUCUUAUAUAGCCAGGUAUAGUCAUGCACCGCAUAACAAUGUUUCAGUCAACAAUGGACCGGGUGUACGACAGCGGUCCCAUAAGUUUAGUACCAUAGAGCCUAUGUGUGUAGUAAGUGGUACCAUCUAGGUUUGUGUAAGGACACUCUCUGAUGUUCGCACAGUGAUGAAGUCACCUAACGACACGUUUCUCAGAAUGUGUCCCCGUCGUUAAGUGACACGCAACCGUAUUGUCUUAUAUGCUUUCUAAAUAUGAAUUCACUUGGUCUUCUUAGCAAUCCUAUGAGAUAGGUGUUCUUAUUAUGUCCACUUUGCAGAUGAGAAAAGUGAGGCACAGAGAGGUUAAGUAACUUGACCAAGGUCAUGAAACAAGAAAAUGGCAGAGCCGGGGUUUGAGGGGUGGACGGGCUGGAGACUGCGCUUUUUAUCACUACGCUGUAUUUCCUCUCCGUAGCUGGAGAUUACUCCUAACUAAAAACUAUUUUCCUGGCCAGUGAUUGGUCUGAGAAGGCCACAUGCUGCACUUCUGGCCAAUGGGGUGUGAGGGGAUGUCUGCGGGGCACUUCUAGGAAAGAUUUUCUCAUUGAUUCAAAGAGAUGCCCAGAAACAGUCUCCUCUCUUCCCGAUGUUUUCGUGAUGAAGCUGACAGUGGAGGCAGCCACCUAGUGACUGGGAGCGGCCAGGCCUGAAGACAGACUCGUGCUCUGAGGAUGGAGGACUGGAAAGACAGACGGAACCUGGGUCCUUAUAAUGCCCUCGAGCCGCUGAGAUAACCAGCCCUGGGCCCUCCUGUGCUGUGAGAUAAGCAUCUUUACUGCUUCGGGCAGUGGUUCUCAAAGUUGAACGGGCAUUAACAUCACCUGCUAAAACACAGCUGUCUGGACCCCACACCUAAAGUUUCUGAUUCAGUAGGCAAAGCCAAGAAUUUGCAUGUCUAACAAGUUUCCAGUGAUGCUGGCUGGCCUGGCAACCACACUUUGAGAACUACUGUUUAAAGCAUUUUGAGUUAAGGUUUUUGGUCCAUGAAGCCAAAAGCAUCUUGAGGCAUCCUGUGACCUGGAGCUGCGUGCCUCCCAAAUCCUCUGGAGUAGGGGAAGCCAGAGGUCACAGGUCGGAGAGGCAACACAGGGCGGUGGAAUGAGCACCAGAACGGGAGUCAAGAACCCAGGAUGCUCCAGCCCUUCCUUGUGACCUUGAGCAACGGAUUUCUUCCCUGCGGGCUCUGUUUCUCCAUCCAUCAAAUGGGAAGGAGGUUGGACGAGAUCACAGCUAACUUUCCUUCUGGCUUUGACACUCUGUGUUCCAGAAUUCACCAGAACGGAAUGGUCUGCCCUUGGGGACUCCUCCGGUGGUGUGGAGCCAGGCCCCUUCAUUGUGCCAUCAGCUCCUCUCUUGUGCCCGGGGGGAGGCUGCAGGCUCCUGCAGCAUUAGGCGUGGGGAGGCAGAGUCAGAUGCCACAGUCAUUUUGAACACAUUAAAGUUCCAGGCAGAAAGCUCUUUUGCAGCCUGAGUUUGAGCUGGGAAAAGAGAGGCCGGAGCCAAGCCUCUCCCCAUGGGGAUUUCGUCUCCCCCAGCUGGAGCUGGGGUGAGUCAUAGCCGGCAUCCGAGGGCGAGAUGCCCAGGCCCGUGGGAGCCUCUCCCCAGGGGUUCUCACUUUGAAGGUGUUGGGUAAACACAGACUUUGGCCCGAUUUCUCCCUCCAUAUCCAAUCAGUCACUGAGAACUGGCUUCCACCUCCUCAGUGUCACUCCAAUCUGCCAGGUUGUCCCUGUCUCUCUGCCCUGGAUUCUUGGAAUCAGCUCUGACUGGGCUCGCAGCCUCCGGUCUUGCCCCCUGCGCCCUCCUGCCCCACAAUUAACACCUGAUACGGCCUCUGGAAAAACCUACACUCCUGAGCAGGGAACACCCACAUGGCCUUUCACAGUCUGGCCCCCGCCACCUUCUCUGGCAUCCCUGUGCUUUCUACGCUCCAGCUGGAAGAAAAUACUACAGUUUCCAGAAUGUUCCGGGCCCUCUUUCACCUCUGAGGCUUUGCACAUGCUGUGUCCCCUGCCUGGAACAUAAUGCUUUGCAUCCUCCCUCCCUCCAGGCAGCCUCUCAUGUCUCAGCGUGGAUCCCACACCAGUAAGUACCCGAUACCUGAUUUGCUGGGCCUGGCGCAAAAUGAAAAUGUAGGCCCUUGUUCAAAAUGUAUUCGGAAUUUCAAGAUGGCAACAAUGAAGCAUUAAGCCAAGUUUGGGGCCCCUCUAAGCUAGAGUGCUGUGUGAUUCACUGCAUAGGUUGCCUGCCCAUGAAGCGAACCUUGCUCCUGGUUGUCACCCCAGGGUCCCCUCUGUGCCCCACAGCCCUCUGUGUGUCCCAGUUAUGACCUCCCGCAGUGAUUGUCUGUUGUUCUCCUCCUACUAGGGUAUGAGCAUCAGGGGGCAGGACUUGCAUCUGUCUUGUUUCUGGAACGUUCCAGAUGCCUGGCACAGAACUUGGCAGAGUAGGCGCUCCUUAAAGAUCUGUUGAACUGUCAUUCAGCGCAUAAACAAUCUGUUCAACACAUAUUUUUGCACAGCCUCUGCUGUGCCAGGCACGAAGCUAGGCGCUGGGGCGACAUUCCCUGAACCAAACAAAAAGCCUUGCUCUUGGAGCGUUUAGGUUCUCGCAAGGGAAAGCCACACUGUCCUAGGUUGGUUCUGGCAGAAGCAGACCCCGAGGCUGGGAUCUGAGCGCUGACAGGACGCACCGGUAGGGAGAAGCGGAAGUGAGACAGAAAAGCGAGAGAAGCCACACAAGGAAGUGAAACAGCGGGUGACCGCUGUGGGCACGGGGGCUCAGCUCCGAGGAGUUCUGGGGGACGGUGUCCCACCUGAGAGCGAGGAAGAUGUGGGUACUGAUCCAUCGCCUCCCAUUCUUCUGCCGCUCAGGGCUGCUCCUGGCCUGGCCCACCUGCAGGCUGAGCUGCUCCUGCCCCCAGAUGCGGGUCUUCAGGCAGCGUCUCGGGUGCCUGCAGCGAGCAGCCACGGGCAGGGCAGAGAGAGAGCCGGAGAGCAGCGAGGGCUACGGGCGAGCCACAUAUGCAGUAAACAAGAACCACGAAGAAUAAGUAAAACGUGUCCCAGCCAAUAGCAUCCAGAUUGGUCCUAAACUUAAGGAAGACUGAGCCAAGGCCAGCAGAACUUUUUCCAUCUAUAAACGUGACAUCAGACUACUGUAGCCCCAGGCCUCAUUCUCAGCCCAAGGGCGAGAAUCUCAAAGUUGUGUCUGCCGCUGCCCGAUGCGAUUGCUUACUUCAGCCACGUAGAUCAGGAAGACCUCAUUCAUUUCAUUCGUUCAACGACGAUUCGGUUCCUUUCACGUGCUUGGUAUUGUUCUAGCAGCCCGGAUUUUAGCGGUGGACAAAACGGUGUCUGCUUUCACGGAGCUUACAUUCUGGUGGAGAGGGGUGGUGUAGAAUAAACAGAUAAAAGUGUUGAAUAACGUCAGGUGGAAGAAAACCAAAACCAAGCAUGGAGUGGGGAUGGGUGGCCACUUUCGCCAGAGUGGCCAGGGUGGCUUCUCUGAUGCGGUGGCGCUGGAGCAGAGACUUGUACAAAGGGAUAGAGCAAACCCCGCAAGGGCCUGGGGAACGGCCUUUUAGGCAGAGAGAAGAGCCGGCGCCACUGUCCUGAGCGAGGAGCGGGCUCAGCACAUGCGCAGAAGGGCGGGAGGACCACGCGGCUGGAGCAGUGCGUCAGGGGACCCGGUAGAGGACCAGGGCGGAGCGCUGCGGGUUACACCCCAACUCCCGAGGGCCAGGAAGAGGGACGUGCGACCGUGGUCUCUGCACUUAACGUGUUUGAGGUCCUGCUGGAAGCCUGCACUUAGAGACAAUGGAGCUGGAAAUGAGGCUGUUAAAGAGGCCACUGGUGCCCACUCAGCAACACCCUCGGAGGGGUCAAGCAGGCCCACGCCGUCACACUCACUGAGGAUGUCUCUCUGCAGAAGUGCUUCUGGCCUCAGAAUCAUUGUUUUCAAAACUGAAGCACUUUUGGGCUCCAGCCGUCCCGCUCCUCCCUUCCCUUCUGCCAACUAGUGAUUACGCGUGUGGGAUUAACUGAGACGCCAACCAGGAAACUAAGACGCCCAGAAACCUCAAGGCCAAGAGGACGUGGAGGAGCCUGAACUGGGGGCUGCAGGGCAUCGACACCCACCCCCUCGAGAUGACCUAGCUCAGUGGUCCUCACACCUGAGCGAGCCUUAGUGUCACCUAGAGCAUGUGUUGAAACACUGAGGACUGAGCCCUGCCCCAGAGAGUUUCUGAUCAGCAGAAACUCUCAGGCCCUAUCUAUGACUAUCAUCUCCGCCUGCUCCAUGGGGUCGACUUUGGCUCAUGGGACUCCUAGCUCGUGUGUCUGACCACUCUGUCCGCAGCCAGCAUCCCGGGUAGCACCAGUCACUCCUUCCCGGGCUCCUUCAGCAUGUUGUGAGAGCCUGUUUAGCAUGGUGGUCCAGAGGCCUGGUUCCAGAUGUCCAGAACCCGGUCUGGCCAUGAGAAGUUCUGUCACGUUGACCGAGUUAUGUCCCCUCUCUAGGCCUCAGUUUCCUCAUUUAUAAUAUGUCAGCGAUGUCUUCGCCAACCUGGAUUUGCAUGGCUCCCUUUCCUCCUUCAUCACAUAUUAUAGUAAUAUAGUAUAAUAUAACGUAGUGUUUUAUGACAUAGCGCUGUGCGGUGGAGAUGACGAUGGCUCCCUCCUCCUGGAUUUGCUAGGAGGAGCAGGGAGUUAGUCUGCCCUCAGAACAGCGCCCGGGACAGAGGAGAUGCUGAGUUCCUCUCGGCUCGAGUUGUUCUGGGCCAUUCGGGUGAACCCUCAGGGCUGUUACAGCCUCCUUAUUUGUACCCAAGGUGGACUGGACAGCCCGUAACAGAGUCACCUUGGUACUUGUUAAAGAGAAGAAUUUCCGCCCCACUCAGGCCGCUGGGAUCAUAAUGGGGGUGGGGGCGGACUCCAGAUUUCUCAUUUUUUACUAGUGUCUCUGGGUGAAUUUUCCCCUGGGAGAGUCUGAGGCUUGAGUGCAAGCGCUUGAGCUGGCUGACCCCGGGUCUGGAUCCACCUGAGGCACUCAGUUACUGAGUGGCCUUGAGCAGGGCGCUUGUCUAGGACCCCCUGGGAACCUCAGGUGUUAAAGCAUCCAAGGGGUGCAGACCCCCAGCUGCCGUGCCCAGCGCAGGGAGCCUCACCCUGGUGCUCGUGUGCCGGGAGGGCUCCACAACUUGGCUGGGGCCUCCAGGCUGCUCUGUCUCCUCCAGAAGACCAAGCUCCCCACACCCCUGGCACCAGACCAGGCACCUUGUCGGCACAGUCAGAACGGGCCUCAGAUUCACCCAGACUGAAGGACUCGCUCCUCCCUGGGCUCCGUCUGUUAGUGUGGCCUCUUCUUUCUCCGCCUUCUGAUGCUGCAGCGUUAUCAGCAUCCUGUGUGUGAGGCCCCACGUGAGGAGCCUGAUGGGGCAGCAGAGCUGGUUUAGUGGAGGAAACAGAACUACACGGAAAUGUUACAUGUACCCUCCCGUUAUAAACGCCUUCUUCAGAAAAGCAUGCUUUCUUCAUGUUUGGACUCUAGUUAAUCUUUUAAAGUUAUUUGUAGAGUGGUAGCUGCCUGGCGCGAACACUCUACUCACAGCUGGAGCUCCAGCAAGGGUGCUGAGGGGUCUCAUUUGAGCCUGGAAUGGUGACUAGCAUCCUAGUUUUAUCGUUGGAUGAAGUGGCCUGUCCAUGCAUGCCCAGCCAGAUACUGGCAUGGCCUAGAUCAGAACGCGGAUGUUGAGGUCACUUCUCCGAUGAUCCAGCCGGGAGAAGGGCCCAGGGAGGGGCCUGGCACUGGGAACACCAAGAGCGGGAAUUCACCGGAGAAUGAGAUGGUUUCGAUCAGAGGGACUUGCCUUAGACAGGCUCUGGCGCCUGGCUAAGUCACGUGACCUCUCAGGCUCUGCUUUCCCAUCUGUAAAAUGAGAGGAGGAGGUUUUAGCUACUUAGCAAGUCGUUCACAUUAGGUAGGACCACGUGUACAAAGCACUUGGCCCACAGCAGGGGCUAGCAAAUGUUGGUGUCCCCCUUGUCACCCACCCCAAAGGACGGAGGGUGGCCUCCGUGCCUCACACUCCUGCAUCCCGGCCCCGCCCAGCCUCUGCUGGCUUUGGCGUCAUGAUGAAUGCAUUCUCCGCACUGUACUGAAGACUGACGUGAAUCAAAGAGCACAAAACAGCUCCUUUGUUCCCUAGAUUUUGCAAGAGAGAGACAUCUUAAAUUCUCAGUUGUGGUCUCCCUGGCACACCCUGACUGGUUUCCCGGAGAACAAACGACAAAGCUGAUUGCCACUUCACAGAGGGGAGGCGGAAAGGGAAAAUAGGACACACACUUUGUUAAGGCUUUUCAAAUGUCAGUGCCUUAGCAUCAGGGAGCUGCAAGCUAGGGGGCCUAUUGGGAUUCUGCUUCCGGGAGAUUUCGUGCCUUCAUUUUGCUCGUUUAAAUUCUGCAUUUCAGCCUGCUCUGCCUCUAUUGAUCUGCUUCAGUCUGAUAUUCCUAAACUGAGUAGCUCUAAUUGGCUCAGAAGGAUGGCUGCAAGGUAAACACUCUCCACGGCUGGCACCCUUUGGGGACUGUCUAUGGGGGCGCUGGACUUUAACCAAGGAGAGCAUGGAAAGGGCACAGCUUUGGAGACAGACAGGCAUGUGUCAUCCUCUGCAUGACCUUGGGCAAUACUGGGCCCCUCUGAGCCUCAGUUUCUCUGCUCACAAAAUGGAGAUGAUGUUUGUGACUGCCUAAGGUCACUGCGGGGAUAAGCAGGGUCAGAUGUGGUGGCACAAUGACGCAGAAAUUUUUGACAAUGAGCCACUGUAUUCUCGCAAAAAAUUUUACUACGCCAAAGAAAAUGUAUGAGCACUGAGAUGCCAGGUAGCACGAUGGCUCUGUGAGCAACACAGUGCUGGUGACAUCUGUUGUCAGAUUUCAGAGAUUCACUGCUUCCUCCAGGUCCUUACAAAUCCAGCCCUUGUUCCUGCGGUCUGCGGUCUAAAUUGAGAAAAUAAAAUAUGAACACAAUGUCUGGAAAAUGACUUUGCAUUUCGGCACUUAUGUUAGAAGACGGGUUCAAUUCUCCAGCUUUAAGUGUUGGUGUUUCUGUCAGUUAUAACGAAUAAACGCACGGAGGUGAAACUGAUCAACCGUUUCAUUGCUUUUCAGAAACGGAGAGAUGACGGCUUCCCUAAGUCAGCGCGUCACUGCGUUUAAUUUGAUGAUGUUGUUUAGAAACUCUAUGUACUGUUUUCUGGGCCAAAACGUAUCAACCAUUGAUGAGGAGAAAAUCAAAAGACAAACGACCAAUUCUCAGUAAAGGGGGAAAUUAUCGUGGUGAUUGAUUACAAGCAUAGACUCCAUGCCCGGGGAGGGGCCGGGGCUCCUGCACAGUCAGAACAGUGAGGAGAAAAGCCUGUGGCGCUCAGGUGCUGAGCAGGGAGCCAGAAGCCUUGGAGUGGAGACCUGCCUCUGCUGCCCGGGUAACCUGACCUUGGACAGGUCACUCCCCUCCGUGGGCGCAUCCCCUCAUCCUCCACAGAAUGACAGUCAUCCCCAUUCAGCCUUCUCCCUGGGUUGUGGUGAGGCUCCACGAGCGAAGCCUGCCAGGACUGGCACUUUAUACCUCAGCUUUCACUUCAUCUUCACAAAACCCAGUGAGGUAAUAGGGUCAUCUGAUUCAAAAUUCAGGAGUACCGAAAGGUAAACUAUCUCCCUCCCUCGCUUCCCCCACCUGCCCAGAUCCUCUCCCUGGAAGCCAUUUAGGUACUAGUUUCUUGUGUUUGCUUCCAUUGCCGUAAGAUAUUACACAUAAAGACAUCAAACACACACACUCCCCAUCCCUUUUGCUUUUACAGACGGUGGCAUAACAUUCACACCUUGCUUGUUUCCCUUCCCAUCCUGGAGAGCCUUUGUAUCAGCACUGGUAGGGUGUUCUCAUUAUCAUUUUUUGGGUAUGUCUGCAUAGGGUUCCACUCCGUGGGUGUACCAUAUUUAUUUAACCAGUUCCCUACUGAUAGUCACUUAAGUUAUUUCUCUGGAGGGUUUUAAGGGGAAGUAACAUUCUGAUUUAUAUUUUAGAGAGAGCCCUCUGGCUACUGGAUGGAGGACAGCUCCUCGGAGCUUGACGGUGGAGGCAGCAGCCCAGCCCUGCCCAGUUAGGGAGGGCUGCUGUUCUCCAGGAAAGAGAAGAUAAUGGUUUGGGACAGGGUGGCAGCAGUGAGGGCAUGAGAAAUGCGGGCAUGUGGGAUAUUGACGAGAUAGAACCAACAAUACUAGUUGAUGCCUUAAAUGUGGGGGGUAAGUAAAAUGGGGUCGGGACAGCUUUUGAGCCACAGCAAUUGGGGCGAUGGUGAGACUCCCUUAAUUUCUCAACAGCAUUUCCCGUCUGACUUCUGCAAACAGAGCAGGUGGUAAAGGCAGGAGAACUGGCAGUAAAAGAUGGGUCCUCUGCAUGAGACUCUUCCUUAUGUGGCAAAAACUUAAAAAACAUAUUAUAAGCACUACAUGUGAUGGAACACAUUUGGAAUUUUCCACCUUCCAUGUCUGAAAGGAAUCAAUCCCAAGGAAUUCCCUCCCAUCUCGCCAGCUGCUCUUUCUCAGUCUCCUCUGCAGGGCUCCCUCCGCCUGGCGUCUGACGGCCAGCAUUCCUCAGGGACCAGCCCUGAGCUCCUGCUCCUCCCUGCCCACAUUGUCUCCCUGGAGCAUCUCGUUCUGCCCUGUGGUUUUUAAUGCACCUAUAUGCUGAGUCACAGAUUCCUGUCUCCAACUCUGGCCUCUUCCCUGAGUUCUCCCUGGGGACUUAGAUACCCAGCUGCUUACUGACAUCGUCCCCUGCAUGUUUAAUAGACAUCUCACACUUAACAUGUUCCAAACGGAACCCUUGACCCUCUACUCACAAUCCUGUCUUCCCACGUGUCCAAUAUGUCUGCCAUAUAUCGGUAAAUGGCUACUCCAUUCACCAUCCACCCAGGUGCAUGAACUAUAAUCCUAGGAGUUAUAUUAGAUCACCCAGCUUCUCUUCAAGCCUUGUUGGUUCUAACUAGAAGUUUCAUCUCAAGUCCAUCCACUUCUCUUCAUCCCCAUCAUCCACACCUCUCACCUCCAUCAUCUUUCACUGGAUAAUCCUACACCGGUACCUGCUUAUCUACGCUCUCUGCCUCCAUUCUUGUCUUCCUGGAGCCUCUCUCGACACAUCAACCAAGUGGGUCUUUUCAAAGACUGCCACGUAUCACACUGCUGCACAGUCACCCUGGACACAAUUUCCUUCAAGGACACCACUUCAUUUCAGUACAGCCACUUCAACUGCUCAAUCAAUGGCUAGAGAGGGCCAGGAGCUUCAGGAAGCCGGUGGGAAGCCUUCGUCAAGAUCAUCAAAGUCCGUCGUCCUCCUUUCUCAACUAAGAAAACCAAUACCCGGUCGUGUUGGUGCCUCCUUUCUCAGAACAGUCAUGUUCUCUGAAUCAUACACAGUGGAUCUUUUAUACACAAAAUUGUAUUCUAAUUGCAUAAACAGACUGUUCUAAUGAAACACCAUCCACUCCAUUUGUAGAGUAGUCUAUCUGGAUAGUUAGAAAAAAAUUGGUGUUCUCUCCAGUAGGGCACAUCGGGAGAGCAAAAUGAUCCAUUGGGGUGGGAGAAGAAGAGAAUGUUAGGAUUUGUAUUUAUGGCUAUGUUCAUCUUAAAAUAAGAUAGACAUCAAGCUUUGUUAGCAUUUGCUCUGUGGUUUGACCCAGAAGGCCAGCCUCAGUCAUGUGUCCUGGACAGUAGGCAUGAGAAUCCCAGCCUGGGGGGCUGUGGCUGUGCCAGUCCUUCACUGGCCUUCAGCAUAUCGCCAUGUACCGCGGUUUCCCUGCUGUAGGCUAUCACCAACAGGGCUCAUUUGGCAGAACUCAGAUCUUUAAAUGGUAGAAUUUUUACAGUACUUUAAAGGUUGGCU
rnacentral:lncRNA from 1 species